GGACUACCAGGGUUUCUAAUCCUGUUUGCUCCCCACGCUUUCGCGCCUCAGCGUCAGUAACGGGCCAGUGAGUCGCCUUCGCCACUGGUGUUCUUCCGAAUAUCUACGAAUUUCACCUCUACACUCGGAGUUCCACUCACCUCUCCCGUACUCAAGAUGUCCAGUAUCGAAGGCAAUUCCGAGGUUGAGCCCCGGGCUUUCACCCCCGACUUAAACAUCCGCCUACGCGCCCUUUACGCCCAGUAAAUCCGAGCAACGCUAGCCCCCUUCGUAUUACCGCGGCUGCUGGCAC
rnacentral:rRNA from 1 species